GACGAACGCUGGCGGCGCGCUUAACACAUGCAAGUCGAACGGAAAGGCCCUGCUUUUGCGUGGUUCUCGCGUGGCGAACGGGUGAGUAACACGUGAGUAACCUGCCCUUUACUUUGGGAUAACUUCAGGCAACUGGGGCUACUACCGGAUAGGAGCUCCUGCUGCAUGGGGGGGGUUGGAAAGUUUCGGCGGAUGUGGAUGGACGCGCGGCUUAUCAGCUUGUUGGUGGGGUAGUGGCUUACCAAGGCAUUGGCGGGUCGCCUGCCCGGGAGGGUGAACAGCCACAAUGGGACUGCGGUACGGACCAGACUCCUACGGGAGGCAGCGGUGGGGAAUAUUGCACAAUGGGCCGAAGCCUGAUGCAGCAACGCCGCGUGCGUGAUGACGGCCUUCGGGUUGUAAACCGCUUUCGCCUGUGACGAAGCGUGAGUGACGGUAAUGGGUAAAGAAGCACCGGCUAACUACGUG
rnacentral:rRNA from 1 species